rnacentral:tRNA from 1 species
UGGCUCAGACAAUAAAGCGUCUGUCUGUAAUGCAGGAGACCCAGGUUCGAUCCCUGG